GUUUAAUCAUAUUUUACUAUAGGUUUUAACAAUAAUUUGUUAAAAUUUGUUUUAAAUUUGUUGAAAUUGGUCAGCAUUGGUCGGUUUAGGUCAAGGGUUAAAAUUAAUUUGGGUCAAAAUCGGGCUCGCACCAUCAUAUAUAUAACUACUGAUAUCAAUAUUGCAUUUUCUAUUAAAUGUGGUUGUAAAAUACAAGUUUAACCCAGAAAUAUCUGAUUAAGACACGGACAUUAAAAAUUAUAAACAAGCAAAAUUUAAGACAGAAAACACAUGCUGUAUAUUAGAAAAUCGUAUGAUAAAAUCACACGUUACCUUACUUCUAACGCGACAAAGUGAAAGGUCAAAACUUACUCUGCCUCACAGGUAGUAGCAGCUUAUGUCAGUUCACUUCCAUUAUUUGCCAAACCUGCACAUAUCAUCUAACUUCUAAUGCAGUUAAAAACAUUAUCCUAUAUUUAGAAAUGUUUAUAUGACAACGAAAAACGAUUGGACAUUUCAAUGUUCACGCCUUAAUCAAAUUUCUUGGUAUAUAACUUAAAGGUUCUUUGGUGUUUUAAUUCACAUACUUCUACUAUACAAGUUCUUUAGCAACAUAAAACAAAAGUUCAUUCAUUAUGAUGAAUGUGUUAGAUGGAGUUACUCAUCAAAAAGAAUGUUAUAUAGAAUUAGUAAAAGGAAAUGCGGCGAAAAAAUAUUCGAAAUAACUUGUUACUGCAAUGGAUUUACUAAAUAUACUCAUUCAGUUCAUACGAGCUUUUGGUGUCAUAUCCUCACAUUCUAUCUUAUUACUGGCGUCUAUUGCAGACAGGUUGUUGUUUGUCAUUGUACCAAUGCAAACCCGUGGACAGACGUUAAACCUGAAAAAGCACCAGCAACGUAACACCUGUAUCACCCGGCAACAACAAAAUCGGAUACUUUGCAGAAGCUGUAACCAAAAAACAGAGCUAUUUUUUCUGGGAGAAAACGUAUCAUAACUAUGGAAAUGAAACAAUGAUUUUUCAGCUAAAGAUUUUAAAACAAUUCUGGUGGUCAUAAUUAGUUCAAGUCUGCAAAAUAAUAACAACAUGUAAAAUUAUAUGUAUGUAAUUUGCUUAUAGUAUUGCUUCAUAUUAUAAAUGAUUUCAUAUUAUAAAUGUAUAUUCUGUGAAAACAGGAAGGCACAUCUAAGAUUAAAUAAAAAUUUUGUUAAUAAUCAUUUCUUGAUAAUGAUGAUGUUGCCGCAGUUAAUCGUUUUGACAUCUUCUAUAGACCAGUAAAUAGUUAAAUCUAUUGAUUUUCCUUACUGUACAUGAUGCAUUUUUGACAAUUAGAUUUGUUUAGAAGAUAAAAGAUGUUUACUUAAAUCAUCUGUUAUCUACAUAUGUGCACAUGGAUGCGUAUGCAUCUGAAAUUAUAAGGUAUUUAUUUGAAGUGUGCUUCUCGCAUUUCCUAUGCCUAAAAGUGUUUUCAACUACAACGAAUGGUUUAUCAUUGUCAUAUUAUAAAAUUACAGCAUAAUAGUUACAUUUGUAGAAGGUCAAUACAUUUAAGAAAAAAUGGAAUUAUGUCUCCAGUAGCAUUUUCGCCCAUGUGUGUUUUCAUUUCUAAUACUAUGUUGACAAAAAUCAUUUUGAAAGAAACAUGCGCACCUUUAAAUUACUAAAAUCGAUGUAAAACCGUAAAUCUACAACGCAAUAGAUUUGUUGUAUUCAUAAUGGUGAUAAGAAGGAUGGGUAAAAUAUGAAAUCACAGGAAUAGGAAAACCAAACCGGGAAACCAUACACAAAUAUUUCUCAGUUAUGAUUUGAAGCAAAAAAAUAAAAAUAAACUCAUAACCUCAUGACUAGCUGUACCAUGAGCUUAAUAUGCCUUUUCAACAUAUGCCUACGACCCUACUUACUCCUAUGAAAAAUAAAGAAUGAAAACGAUUCGUUGGUUUUAUUACAACGUAUAACUGUAUAUAUGUCGCUCACAUACACGUAUUAACAUCAUAUAAAACGAAUAAAUCAUUUCGUAGUUUUUCUUAUUAAGUCAUUUCUAUUUUAAGACUGUACCAAAAUAAAUAUCCUGAUACCAUUUUAUCAGAAUUAAUUUAAUGUUAUCAUUCCAUAUAUUACCAGCUGAAAAUACUGUACAAUUACCAGCUGAAAACACAACUGACGUUAAUCAAAGACAAUUAGUUAUAAGUACUGUCUACAAAUUGUCAAACAAAAAUAGGCUUAGAAGUCCGCAGAAAGUCUUUUAAAAGUAUCAAAUAUGAGUGAUGUAAAUAAAACAAGAAGAGUAAGACGACGAAGAAGGGCAAAUCUUUGGCUGGAUGCUGAUCAAACGCAGGAAAAGAUACUACCCGCGACGAAAACCGUAUAGCAGACGAGAGUAAAUUUAUUUAGAAAGAUUAAAUGCAAACCUUACAUUCAGAUAUUUACAGGAUUAAAUUGUUUGGCAAUGUGUUGCAUGAUAUAUGUUACAAGCAACUUCAGUAGCUGUUACGCUUCAUAACAUCAAACCUAAACGAAAAUAGUGGAAAGCUGACCUAGGGAAAAUUGGAUCGUUGAAAUAAUUCAUAACGGAAACUGUUAAAGAGAAUUUGGUGUUAACUAUUCUAUUAAAUGUGAACAGUACUUCUUGCAAAUGUACAUUUUAAAAAGCAAGUAUAAUGUAUACUAUAUAAGAAAAGUAGACUCAUAUGAACUCUAUAAACGAGAGACUUUGUCCGCAAUAUGUUUGAAUCCUGUUAUAAGCUGUUUGUAUCUCAACGAUUGUAAAUUUCAAUUUGUGUUGUAACAAGCAGAACAAGCUAAUACAAUUUCUUAUAUUACUCAUUAUUCUGCUUUGCUGAUAUAGAUGCCAUUUCUACUCAGUCUUUUGUUGGUUUUGCAGCUGGUUUUAACAUUAAAAAAACUACAUAGAUUUUCUACAGCGACAUGCAUUUUGCCAUAUACAUUUCCUUUGAAAUACACUUCGAUUUGUCUUACUAGAUCUUCAAAUGUUUUUGUGCUCCUUACUUUGCUGAAAUAAUAAUGAAAAUAUCUCUUUGACGUAAUACUAUUUUAGUAGCCGUUGAUUUUUUCUCACGAGUCCACAUUCGAUUUAUAAAUGUUUCUUUUUUCAGAAAUUGUCAUAUACGCCGCACAAGGGGGUCGAACUCGUGAACCCGCAAUUGAUAGUUUAUCUUGCUAACAGGGCGGUUACUGAAAUCAUUACCAAAAUAUGUAUUUUUGUUGUUAAGACGCAACUCGACAUUUUUGAUUACAAACAAAUUACAGCGGUUUGACACGAGUCAUCAUUUGUUUCAUAUUGUACCGUUACGUUUACAAUGAAGGAAUUGUGCUUUAUAUAUAAAAUGGCGGUAUAUGAUAAGUUUUUCACUGAUUGUGUCUCAGGCAUAUCUAUAUGACAUACUAAAUUACAUACUGAAUGACAUGUAUAACAAUGGAACAACAUGAUACAAGUCAAAUAUAUAGGAAAAUGGUUUUAGAAUAAAUAUCGAUAAAAGUAUGUAGCAUAAGAUAAUCUCCCUUUGCCUGAUCACGAUAACAUUUAGUGUAAAAUGUUAUAUUAUAUAGCUGUUACAUCAAUUAAACACGUAAAAAUGGAUUGCAUGUCACUCAUACUUCUUUUCUACACAAUUUUAGAAUAUUCAAUGACAUUAUUUUAUUUUAAUUUAAUUGCGUCCUAAUUUGACAGUUUGUUUUUAACAUGACUUAAAAUAUAAAUCAUACUUAUGAACGUCAUAUAAUUUCUCUAUCUAGUUGAAAAUGUAUUUGUCUGAUAUUACAUUUGUGUGUUUCUUUAAUCAGUUCAUAUAUCUACAUGUACAUUGCCCGAAAUAAACUUAGAAUUUCAUACAUAAGAUUUUUUUACGAUAAAAAGGGAACUAUUGUUGUGCAAAAUAUCAUAUUCUCCAUUUAAACGAUCUAUUUUCAUAUUUCAUUUAAUGUAGAGCAAUCAAUGCCAGUGUUUAAACGGACAGCCUUUAAAUUUGCCAACGUGGCAUGACCUCUGCUCUAACCGUUACUAUACAGGACAUUGGGGUUCCCUAAGUACUAAAAAUAGCUAGAAAACCUUACCUCAGUGAAAAGCAUAUCCAGACAUUUAGGUUCCCACUACUAAGCAAGUAGUAUUUGUGCUUGUUACGCACAUUUCAUACGCGCAUGCGCUGUAACCAACACAAAACAUAAAUAAAUCAACGUGUUUUGUAAUAUUGUAGGGUCACACGAUAUGUUUGUAAUUUACGGCUUUGUAGAUAAGAGUGUUUGUUAUAGACAUAUAUAUAUAGUCGUAAGUACCAUACUUUUUCAAAAAUCGACAAUCAAUGACCUUUAAAGUCUUUGGUACGGAAUUGUUCCUUUUCUUAUAUUUUUUCCCAGUUUAUUUUUCUUCCGCUAUCUUAACAAGGAAGUCAACAUAAAAUAUGUCUAAACAAGUAUGUCGGUUGCAAUAAUCUGUAUUCAGAAAAUAUGCAAAAUACAUGGCUUUUAAAGAUUUGCAAUUUAUUGCAUGUACGUAUACAGUGACACUUCGAUACAAAGACCACUGGCGCAACCUUAUUCAAAGCGUCAACGUUUGCUUCAGAAAACAGUUGAUAAUUAUUAAGCGUCAAUCAUUAUUAUAUAUUACACUGAAAAAUCUAGUGAACGAAAAUAGCAAAAGAAGGAAAUGGCUUUUAUGGUGCUAUUGUCACUGUUUCGUUUAAUAAAUAAAGAACGGUUUUUCCUUCUUAGUCAAACGUCAUUGAAAGAUAUGGAGAUAUACUGCAACUUAACUUACACAAUACUUUGCAGCAUUUUGGGCAAUGAAUGGCUGUCUAAAGUACAGAUCAUCUAACAAAAUGUAAUGCUAGCCUCCACAGAACAAGCAAAAUCACUGAUCUGCCCAGACUUAUUUUCAUUAUGUCUUAUCUAUUUAAGCAUGUGAUCUGUUAAACAAUCACUAUGUCACCUCUAAUAAGAAGUUAGUAUUACAUUUCAUCGCCGUAUCAUUUGUGUUUAGUCUGAAGCUGAAGUUUAACCCGCGUCGAUUCGCUUAACAGUUAUUCCGGCACUUAUGACGCUUACAUAUACACAUGUAUAUAUGGAGUGAGAAUAUUUGUAAACAACACCAGCUGUAAGUGAGUGUAAAUUGAGGUUGCUCUAUAGAUUUCAAAUAAGUGGUACAUGUUUGACCAAGAGGCAUGAAUGAAAAAAUGAAUUUAAGACCAAAAUGAAUUACAAGUCGUGUACAUAAGAAGAAGGAAAGGAAUAAUGAUAACACAAGCAAUUAUUAUGUUGUUAAGUCAUUUAGCAUAACCUCGGUUUUAACGUAUGUACAAAGAAAAAAUAGCGAGGUUUCAUGGUCUAUUAGAGAGCAGUGUGCUCAGCGUUCUAAAAUUUAAUGUUAUUUCACACAUAUAGUAUUGUCUACCAGAAGCAAACCCAAUUCUUUCAAGAACCAGACUUUCAAUUUAAAACAACUUGGCUACGCUACCAUGACAUGUCUAUGCCUAAACUUAAUCUCCGUCUGUUCUGGGGGGUGUAUGUCUCCAAUAGUUUCGAAUUUGUUUCUUGAAUCGUUCAUUAAAGUCGUGAAGAACACAAAGGCUAAAUACUCCUGUUUACCUUGUCAUUUUAAACAAAGGCAAAUUGUAAGACCUAUGAAAACUUUCAAAAUGAUACAUACUCUUACUUCGGUAAAGCAUUAUGCUUUAUAAACUAACUGGAAAAGUGAGAUCUGUGACAGCGCUUAGAUCAUAGGUAUAUACUUACACAUAACCAUUAUAAUUAUUGCUUUUAUUUAAUAAUUGAAUUUAUGAUAAUCAAAUAUUGAUAAUGAAAAUUACUUAUAUUUAUGUAUGUAUUACUAUUACCUUUUUAUUAAAUGAGAGUAUUAAAUAAUUUACAUUCAUUCAACAUAUCCUAACGAAACGUUGAUGUUUCGACAUCAAGUUUCUAAUAUACGUAUAACGGUCGUAUUAUCAUAAAUGAGACAAAAGCUUCAUAAUAUUUUAAAAAGACUUUUUAUUUAUAGAUUGAGAAAUUGGCUCACAGAAAAUCAAUAUAUUAUCACAAUUCAUAAAUUUAUACAACAAAGCAAAAUGCAGUAAAUUAUGCAAAAGCGAUGGUAUUAUAUAAAUACUUCAAAACCAAAACAAAGACAAUUUUAUACAGGGUUAAUCAUGUGUGAAUUACAUGCAUGUGUCAAGAACUAACAAAAUACUCGUAUGUCAAAAUGACUACUCACUUUAUUGGACAUAUCUAGAGUAUAACUUAACACAAAGCGACUAAUAAUUUCGCAAAAUAGUUAGAAAAAGUAUUUUUGAAAAUGAUACAUCAAAUACAAUAAGCUUAGAUUUAGCUCUACAAGAUCUGUUGCACUCGAUGGGAACAAUAAAACCAGGCAAAGGACAUUUUCUGCUCAUAUCCAUUUUGUAUUUGCAGAAAACAUCCAACAUAUCUAAAUAAACUGUAGCCCGAUCAAAUAGAAAUAUAUCCCAAUUAGACUGAAAUAAUAAUCGAACAAUAACAUCUUAUUCCGUUUUUAGUGUUCAGCAUAAAAAUCAACAUUUACAAAGAUAGGCUAAACAAUAACAAUUUAUGUAAAGUAUGUAAUGUGAAAAUCAAAUUUGCAACUGAUAGAUGUGACACACGCACGCACACAGGCAUUACGCACGCAAAUACUCGCACGAACGCUUGCACUCACCUACGUGCGCAAGCACAUUGAACACAUUCUUAGUAUACAUGUGCAACAUCUGCAAAAAUAACGGUAUUCAAAUUUUUAUCAGUGUUGCUUCCCUUUGACCGUUUACAACGUAAAUGUUAGCAAUAGAAGUUAAAAUAUUUUACAAUGAUUGCAUAAUAUUUAUCUGGGAGUGAGUAUCUACAAUUACAUAUCUCAAGUUUAAUUAAUCUUAAUCAUGAAUGAGACCAAUACCCGUGUUUAAGACAAUCAGAUUUUACUUCAAAUACAAACACAUGUAUAAGAUAUUAGAUAUGUAAGAUCGUACAUUGUCUUUGUAAUAAAUGUUUUCUACAAUUCAUAUGUGUGCAGUUGAGGUUGUGUUUUGCUAUGCUUUUAGACCUUUUUCAUUUUCUUACACUAUUAUAAGCAAAACUGAAUAAAAACAUGUUUGUUUUUGGUGUCUGGUGUUAUCAAAAUGGUGUGUUUAUUAUUUUGGUCUGAAAAAAGAAAACAAGUAGCAGCACCAAAAUAAUUACAUAUUUAUCCCUGUAUAAGUUUUUGAUGUUAAGCAGAUUAGUUUACAAGAUUUUCGUGUCAUGAUAGAUAGGGAAGAAAAACACUACAUUUCAAAUAGAAUAGCGCUAUUAAUAUUACUCUAUCUGUACGGCACAUCUAAUG